AGCGAACGCUGGCGGAAUGCUUAACACAUGCAAGUCGCACGCCCUGCAAGGGGAGUGGCGGACGGGUGAGUAACGCGUAGGAAUAUGUCCAGAGGUGGGGGACAACCCUGGGAAACUGGGGCUAAUACCGCAUAUGGGCUGAGGCCCAAAGCAGUGAUGCGCCUUUGGAGUAGCCUGCGUCCGAUUAGCUUGUUGGUGGGGUAAAGGCUUACCAAGGCGACGAUCGGUAGCUGGUCUGAGAGGACGACCUGCCACACUGGGACUGAGACACGGCCCAGACUCCUACGGGAGGCAGCAGUGGGGAAUAUUGGACAAUGGGCGCAAGCCUGAUCCAGCAAUUCCGCGUGGGUGAAGAAGGUCUUCGGAUUGUAAAGCCCUUUCGACGGGGACGAUGAUGACGGUACCCGUAGAAGAAGCCCCGGCUAACUUCGUGCCAGCAGCCGCAGUAA
rnacentral:rRNA from 1 species